rnacentral:tRNA from 1 species
GCCGUCUUAGCUCAGCUGGUAGAGCAAUAGUUUUGUAAACUAUAGGUCAUCGGUUCGAAUCCGAUAGACGGCUCCA